UUUGGCAAAGGCAAUUAUUUUGUUAGCACACCAAUGCCACUGCCCAAGGACGACGUUGCUUGCUGAAAACCUACCUCCCGGGAAGGGAGGCAGACCCCGAGGCAGGACACGCUGCUGGGUUUGCAGGUCUCUCCAGAUGCCAGAGGCAGGUUUCUGGAAGGGCUCGGGCCUGGUGUCAGCCGCAGCCUUCGACUGACUUUGGUUUUCGGUCCAAAGGCUCUCCAAACGCGUGCUAUGCUUUAAGCUUUUCCUAACCCAGCUUUUUUUUUUUUUCCAAAAUCACUAGUUCCUGGGUGGAAGGAGCGAGGAUUUACCACCGAGGAAGUAAUUACCAGAGGCGACCUGAUCCGGGGAUGCCCGAGCGCUGCAGCUCCGAGGGGAGAGCAGCUGCCGCAUUUACACAACUCCAGGGAAAGGACCACGAGCUCCUUCAUCCAGAGUCUCCCCGCCCAGACCACCCCCCUCGCCCGCACUACCGACCUACCCGCACAGCCUGAGCUCCAGGCACUUCAAACGGCUUCUUCCGGCCCCUUCGACCCCGUCACAUCCGGCAUUCAAACCACCCGCCAAUGAGUGCGGGCGCAGCGGGAAAACCGGCGGCGCUAACGAGUGUACGCAUGCGCAAAGGCAAAGGUUCUCCCAUCCUGGCGCAGCUGGGAGACUCGCUGCGCAUGCUUCAAGAAACUAGCCCUGUUAGCGCGGCAGCUAGUGGUGAAUAACAGGCGCGACCCUCUCCUGCUCGGGGGGCGUGGUCACGGCUCCUCUUGGCCAAUGGCAGCUAAGCCGAGCCGUGAUUGGCCGUUGCGCGAGCCGCGCCGAAUGUGCGAGGUGGCGCGGGCAGGUGGGUGAGUUCCGCGCUGCUCCCUCGCCGCGCCCGCUCCUCUCCCCCGGGCUGGGCCGCGGCUGCGGGACAGGGCGGUGCCUGUGUCUGUGGCUCCAGGGUGGGACUCUUCAGUCACCUGCAGCCCCAGGGACGCGCCGUGCUGCAGAAUUUCAUGGAAGUGCGACUGGGAUGGACCCUGCCAUCUCCUCACAUGUCGAUUCUGACAGGUGGCUUGCAAAACAACUGGCAAGAAUCUUGAUCUCCGGUGACUUGUCUGCCUGUAGCAACAGCACCCAAUCCUUGACAUCCAUUUUGGGGCACAGUUUUGUUAUUCCUACAAAUGAAACAGGAUUGGACCAUGGCAGGAGGACUUUUUUCUGUUGGCCCUGCUCAUAGUAUCACAGCUGCUGCUGCUGCAAUGGACAGAAGAAGCAUUUACAGCGUUUUAUCUCCCUUUAGCACCUUACCAUAGAAUUCUAAUGAUCAUGACCCGUUGGAAUUAAUAGAAUGCAGUCUUGCAAAGGUCUGUAACCUUCUGUCUUAUAGAAUCUCAAUUUUCUACACUUUCCUAUAAUAGUUUGCAUGUUUAAAUGCAUUUUUUUCAUGUACAUAUUUUAUAAAAAAACCCACAAGAUGAAAUUGUUACACAUUAUCAUUUUAAAUAUUAUUUAGUGGCUAGUUUUACUUCUGAGAAGAAAUUUACAACAAUUCUAUUUUUAUCUUAGGAUCUAAACGCUCCAUUGUAUUCAGCACUGUACAAGGACAUUAAAAACAAUUUCUGGCUCGUGCUAUGGUAUAUGCAAAUCAUUUUGUAAAGCUGCAUUAAAUGCAGACUCCAUGCCCAAAGCAAAAUGUUGAAGGACUUGUAAGAUAACAAGGCUGUCAUGAACUUACCC
rnacentral:lncRNA from 1 species